CCAGGUGAGCAUCUUACAGCCUGGAGCAGCGCCCACACCCCCAGGUGAGCAUCUGACAGCCUGGAGCAGCACCCACACUCCCAGGUGAGUAUCUGACAGCCUGGAGUAGCACCCACACCCCCAGGUGAGCAUCUGACAGCCUGGAACAGCAUCCACUCCCCCAGGUGAGCAUCUGACCACAUUGAAUGGCAUCCUCACCUCCAGGUGAGCAUCUGACAGCCUGGAACGGCACCCACACCCCCAGGCGAGCAUCUGACAGCCUGGAGCAGCACCCACACCCCCAGGUGAGCAUCUGACAGCCUGGAGCAGCACCCACACCCCCAGGGGAGCAUCUGACCGCAUGGAAUGUCAUCCUCACUUCCAGGUGAGCAUCCGACAGCCUGGAGCAGCACCCACACCCCCAGGUGAGCAUCUGACCGCAUGGAAUGGCAUCCUCACCUCCAGGUGAGAAUCUGACACCAUAAAACAGCACCCUGCACCCCCAGGUGAGCAUCUGACAGCCUGGAACAGCAUCCACACCCCCAGGUGAGCAUCUGACCGCAUGGAAUGGCAUCCUCACCUCCAGGUGAGCAUCCGACAGCCUGGAACAGAAUUCUCCAACCACAGGUGAGGAUCUGACAGCCUGGAACAGAACCCCACUCUUCCAGGUGAGAAUCUGACGCAUAAAACAGCACCCUGCAACCCCAGGUGAGCAUCUGACAGUCUGGAACAGCAUCCACACCCCCAGGCGAGCAUCUGACUGUAUGGAAUGACAUCCUCACAUCCAGGUGAGAAUAUGACAGAAUAAAGCAGCACCCUGCACCCCCAGUUGAGCAUCUGACAGCCUGGAACAGCACCCACACUCCCAGGUGAGCAUCUGACAGCCUGGAGCAGUACCCACACCCCCAGGUGUGCAUCUGACAGCCUGAAACAGCACCCUCCACCACCAGAUGAGCAUCUGACAACCAGAACCUGCACCACACACCCCAAGGUGGGCAUCCGAUGGCAUGGGACAGCACCCCCACUCACAGGUGAUGUGACUGCGUGGAACAGCACAUCCCCUCAGGUGAGCAUCUGACAGGAUAAAACAGCACCCCACAACCCCAGGUGAUCAUUUGCCAGCCAGGAACGGCAACCCACAUCCCCAGGUAAGUGUCUGACAGCCUAGAGCGGCACCUGCACACUUAGGUAAGAAUCUGAAAGCCUGGAUCAACACUCGAAUCUUCAGGUGAGCAUCUGACAGCCUGGAGCAGCAGUGCCCACCCCUGGGUGAGGAUGCUCACCUGAGGUUGGGAGUGCCAGUCCAGGCUGCCAGAUCCUCACCUGGGGAUGGAAGGUGCCAUUGUAGGUUUUUGGAUGUUCACAUGGGGGUUAAGGGUGGUGUUCCGGGUUAUCAGAUGCUCACCUGGGGACGCGUGGAAAACCAUGCCCACCACAAGGUGAGCAUAUGACAGCCCGGAACAACACCCUCCACCCCCAGGUGAGCAUCUGACAGCCUGGAACAGAACCCCACAACUUCAAAUAAGAAUUUGAUAAGUGGGAAAAAGCUCCCCGCCCUCAGGUGAGUGUCUGACAGCCUGGAACAGCACCCCACAACUGCAGGUGAGCAUCUGAUAGCCUGGAUAGGCACUCCACACAGCCAGGUGAGCAGCUGAAAGCCUGGAAUGGUAACCCACAUGCAGGUGAGCAUCCGACAGCCUGGAACAGCAGCUCACAUCCCCAGGUAAGAUUCCAACAGCAUGGAACAAGACCACUGCCCCCAGGUGAGCAUCUGGCAGCCUGGUAAAACAACCCCCUUCAGGUGAGCAUCCGACAGCCUGGAACAGCAGCUCACAUCCCCAGGUAAGAUUCCAACAGCAUGGAACAAGACCACUGCCCCCAGGUGAGCAUCUGGCAGCCUGGAAAAACAACCCCCUUCAGGUGAGCAUCUGACAGCCUGGAACAGCACCCUCCACCUUCAGGUGAGAAUAUGACAGCCUGAAACAGCACCCCACACCCCAGGCAAAAAUCUGACAGCAUGGAACAAGACCACUGCCCCCAGGUGAGCAUUUGACAGCCCGGGAAAGUACCCUCCAUGCACAGGUGAGCAUCUGACAGCCUGGAAACCCCCCCACUGCUUCCAGGUGAACAUCUGAUAGCCUGGAACAGAACCCCAGUUCUCCAAGUAAGGAUCUGAAAGCACGGAACAGCACUCUCACCCCCAGGGGAGCAUCUGACAACCUAGAACAGCACCCUCACCCCGAGGUGGGCAUCUGGCAGCAUAAAACAGCACCCCUACUGGCAGAUGAGCAUAUGACAGCGUGGAACAGCACCCACGCACCCAGGUGAGCAUCUGACAGCCUGGAACAGCACCCCACACCCCCAGGUGAGCAUCUGACAGCCUGGAACAGCACCCACACCCCCAGGUGAGCAUCUGACAGCCUGGAGCAGCACCCUACACCCCCAGGGGAGCAUCUGACAGUCUGGAGCAGCACCCACACCCCCAGGUGAGCAUCUGACAUCCUGGAACAGCACCCCACGCCCCCAGGUGAGCACCUGACAGCCUGGAACAGCACCCCACACCCCCAGGUGAGCAUCUGACAGCCUGGAACAGCACCCACACCCCCAGGUGAGCAUCUGACAGCCUGGAGCAGCACCCCACACCUCCAGGGGAGCAUCUGACAUCCUGGAACAGCACCCCACACCCCCAGUGAGCAUCUGACAACCUGGAGCAGCACCCCACACCUCCAGGGGAGCAUCUGACAUCCUGGAACAGCACCCCACACCUCCAGGGGGAGCAUCUGACAGCCUGGAGCAACACCCCACACCUCCAGGGGAGCAUCUGACAGCCUGGAACAGCACUCCACACCUCCAGGGGAGCAUCUGACAGCAUGGACAAGUCCUGCCCCCCGAACUCCAGCCCUUAAGAAAAUCAGAAGCCCUGGCAGGCACAUUGCCUCUGUGCUGUGCUUUUACCCAGCGAAGCAUCAGGGCAGACAGCCAAUUUCAACACUGCUCUUGGCUGGGAAGUGCCCUCAUCUCUGGCAGCCCCCACAGAGAAAGUGCAGGGCCCCGGGGCUGUGGCUGCCUCAGGGCAGGUCUCCCUUGUGACAGCCUCUUGUCAUGGGCCUGGGAGUGGACCCCUCCCAUCCCUGCCGUGCAUCCUGUUGAGUAGACAGCUCAGGCUAGUACCCAAGAGGGUGGCCAGCAGAUCACAGGGGAUGUCCCUUUUGUCUUAGCUGUUUAUGGGCUGGAGGAACCACUGUUCAGCCACAUCUCCUCUCCUGCCCCUCCUGCAUUCACCCGAGGUUGAUGGGAGCUCUGUGGGGGGAGACAGGCAGGGGAGGGGCCAGGCAACACCUGGGCAUAUCCCCAGGGUGCCUCCUCUGAUCCCCAGGAGGGGCAGCACCCACCCUCUUCUUUUUCCAAUUUGUUUUUAUUGUGGUUAAAUAUACAUAACGUAAAAUUUA
rnacentral:lncRNA from 1 species